GCCCUCGGUGGCUCAGAUGGAUAGAGCGUCUGCCAUGUAAGCAGGAAUUCCGGGUUCGAGUCCCGGCCGGGGCA
rnacentral:tRNA from 1 species